GAAAAAUUAACACAUCUCCUCAUGGAAUAAUAUUGUACCCAAAAAUGAUUUAGACCGAAAAUAAAUAUAUUUUUCGGGUGAAUAGUACCCCGUGAAUAGUACUUCGGGAAUAGUACCCUGUGAAUAGUACCCCGACACAAAAAGUGUCCCAAAUACCCGAGUGAACAAUACUAGAGUGAAUAGUAACCCGUGAAUAGUACUCCGACACGAAAAAUACCCCAAAUACCCGAGUGAAUAAUAUUCGGGUGAAUAGUAAUUUAGGUGAAUAGUAACCCGUGAAUAGUACUCCGACACAAAAAGUGCCCCAAAUACUCGAGUUGAACAAUACUAGAGUAAAUAGUAAUCGGGUAUUUUAUGACUCGUCUAUUUUGAAAAAUUUUCUCAUAUCACCCUUAACUUUAAACUUUUAUCAAUUUAACUAUUUACCAAAAUAAAAAAAUUGAAUUCUUUUAUUUCAUAAAAUUCGGGGUCUCACAAUCUCCCUUCCUUAUCAAAUUUCGCCCUCGAAAUUUACGUACGUACCUAAUAUUCGAAGAGAUGAGAAUAGCUUGCUUUCUUUUCAGAUUGUACCUUCCCGGUUAUUUCCUCUCUAUCAUGAUUUUCCAUUUCUCAUCUUCUGUAUUUCAAAUAUCAUUCUAGAAUAUAGUUUCAAAAUAAGGGUUAAUUGACAUACCACAUAAUACCCCUAAAUUCUGACCGACCAAUUAAAUAACAAAUAAACUUAGUUAGGUCAUACUAGCGAAGGAAUUUCUCGUCUCUCCCCUCCUAGUUCUUGUCUCACAUCUCAGCCAUGGAUCAAUCCCCGAGCUUUGAUACCAACCUGUGACGGCCCCAAAAUUAGGUAUACAUCACCCAUCUUGAGUCGCCAGAUACAUGGUACAGAAUUCAAAUACAACUUAAUAAUACAACUGUCGUGUACAAUACGACAAACAUAAACUAUGAGUUUGAAUACAAAUAUUGUCUACUAGAGAGUAUACAAACUCAAAAGGAGUCCUCAUUACAAUUAUUAUCACACUAUUUCACAGAAUAGUGAGGACUACUAAUGCACCAUCUAGGACCAUCACUCCAUUCCCCCGACUCGUCCCAGCUAUAUUCUCAUUUUCUGAAGAGAACAGUGAAAGAAAGGGUGAGAUCAACUAGCCCAGUAAGAAAUAUUAUGACUAAGAUAAUGCAGAAUAAAUUAUCAUUAGCCUUAAACAGUGUUAAACUUAUACGAUAUAACAAACAUCAAGUUUAACUCCAGCGGAACAAGAAAUCCAUUAGAAGAGUCAAGUAGAACAUAAUGUCUACUAUCUUCUCUAGAUUAAAAGUCCAUCGUUGAUAUUUUAUUCCUGUAAUAAUACUCAUCAACAGUUCUUUAUUAUUGUGACGCCCCCAAAAUAGGUAUACAUCACCCAUCUUGAGUCGUCAAAUACAUGAAACAAAAUUCAAAUACAACUUAAUUAUACAACAGUCGUGUAAAAUAUGACAAAACAUAGGCUGUGAAUUUUAAUACAAAUAUUGUCAUCUAGACAAUAUCCACACUCAAUGGAGUCCUCAUUACAUUUAUUAUUACAUUAUUUCACAUAAUAGUGAGGACUACUAAUGCACCAUCUAGGACCAUCACUCUGUUUCCCGACUAGUCUCAGCUACGUUCUCAUUUCCUGAAGAGAAUAAUGAAAGAAAUGGUGAGCUUAACUAGCCGAGUAAGAAAUAUUAUGACUAAGAUAAUGCAGAAUAAAUUAUCGUUAGCCUUCAACAGUGUUAAACUGAUAAAAUAUAACAAACAUCAAGUUUAACUGCAGCGGAACAAGCAAUCCAUUAGAAGAGUCAAGUAGAAAAUAAAAUCUACUAUCUUUUAUGAUUUAAAAGGUUUUUCAUCACUGUUAUCGUUGAGACUCAGCUUAAUAAAUAAUCCACAUCAUUGAAUCACCCCUGCACUACGGCAGAGGAUAUUCUUUAGUAUCACGACCAUAAAUUAUCCAUGCUCUAUGGGCCAAAGAUAAUCGUGUUUUCAUCAACGGUCCUGAUCAUGCCAUAAAACAAUUCAUCUUUGCACUACGGCUAAAGAGAAUCCAUAGCCAUAAUCAUACCAAAAAUUGUCCAUCAAUGCACUACGGGCCAAUGAGGACUUUUUUCACAUCAUUUGUAACAUUACGGUCAUGAUUAUACCGAAUAAUCCCUGAUUAUAAUCAUACUAAGUCCAUCUAUGCACUACAGGCCACAGAUGACUUUCAACAUAAUAUAAACAUGAGGAUGAUGACAAUGAUAUAAGAAUUCAAUAAAACAAGUUCAAGAAUUAAUUUAUCCAGGAACCAAUAACGUCCAAAUUGUCAACAUGAUACUGCUUUGUAGAGUAAAAUUCAAGAAAACUCAGAAGAAUAUUUCUAUGAAAAGAUACUGGAUGUAGCGCAAAUAUAAAGAAUAUUCCACUAAUUUCAUGGAGUAUAGAAGUCAAAACUUUAAAAAACUGAGUAUAAUAAGAAUGGAAUAACAAAAGAAAUCACCAUGCAUGUGGUACUUCGCAUAGACAGGUUAUUCCAACAAAAUAAUAAAUAACAGAACCAGGUCAGGAUAAAUUCGCACCGACAGGAUGUUCCAACAGAAUAAUAAAGACGAAACCAGGUCUGGCGUAAAACGCACAUACAGGAUAUUCCAACAGAAUAAUAAUAAAGACGGAACAAGGUCCGACGUAAAACGCACAGACAAGAUAUUCCAACAGAAUAAUAAUAAAGACGGAACCAGGUCCGGCGUAAAACGCACAGACAAGAUAUUCCAACAGAAUAAUAAUAAAGACGGAACCAGGUCCGGCGUAAAACGCACAGACAGGAUAUUCCAACAGAAUAAUAACGAAUAGAAUAACAGAAGAAUUUCACCAAGUAUAGGGUAGCCCGUAUAUACAGGUUAUUCCAACAGAAUAAUAAAUAAUGGAAUAAUAGAAGUUCUCUUCAUGAAUACAAAAGAAAUAAUACCCCUUACGAGUACACCAAAUAAUAUCCCUUACCGUAAAAGAAACUAGAUAUAAGAGUAGGGAAGUAGCAGAAUACUUUUCUUCUUUCUCUCUAAAAUUUUCUCUCUAGAGUUUCAAUGAAUUCGUAAGAAAUAAUAAAGGAAUGAACUUCUAUUUAUAUGAGAAUUGAAGAGCACUGUUCAUGGACAAAAUAAUUCUGCAAAUUUACAGAUGUUCAC
rnacentral:lncRNA from 1 species